GACGAACGCUGGCGGCGUGCUUAACACAUGCAAGUCGAACGGUGAAGGGACCGGUUUUUGCUGGUUCUGGAUGAGUGGCGAACGGGUGAGUAACACGUGAGUAACCUGCCCCCUUCUUCUGGAAAACCGCAUGAAAGUGUGGCUAAUACGGGAUAUUCUGCGCCUGCUGCAUGGUGGGUGUGGGAAAGAUAUUGUUUCGGUGGGGGAUGGGCUCGCGGCCUAUCAGCUUGUUGGUGGGGUGAUGGCCUACCAAGGCGGUGACGGGUAGCCGGCCUGAGAGGGUGGACGGUCACACUGGGACUGAGACACGGCCCAGACUCCUACGGGAGGCAGCAGUGGGGAAUAUUGCACAAUGGGCGCAAGCCUGAUGCAGCGACGCCGCGUGAGGGAUGGAGGCCUUCGGGUUGUAAACCUCUUUCGCCAGUGAAGCAGGCCUGUCCCUUUUGUGGGUGGGUUGACGGUAGCUGGAGAAGAAGCGCCGGCUAACUACGUG
rnacentral:rRNA from 1 species